rnacentral:rRNA from 1 species
AGACAGGUGCUGCAUGGCUGUCGUCAGCUCGUGUUGUGAAUGUUGGGUUAAGUCCCGCAACGAGCGCAACCCUUAUCCUUUGUUGCCAGCGGUUAGGCCGGGAACUCAAAGGAGACUGCCAGUGAUAAACUGGAGGAAGGUGGGGAUGACGUCAAGUCAUCAUGGCCCUUACGAGUAGGGCUACACACGUGCUACAAUGGCGCAUACAAAGAGAAGCGACCUCGCGAGAGCAAGCGGACCUCAUAAAGUGCGUCGUAGUCCGGAUUGGAGUCUGCAACUCGACUCCAUGAAGUCGGAAUCUCUAGUAAUCGUGGAUCAGAAUGCCACGGUGAAUACGUUCCCGGGCCUUGUACACACCGCCCGUCACACCAUGGGAGUGGGUUGCAAAAGAAGUAGGUAGCUUAACCUUCGGGAGGGCGCUUACCACUUUGUGAUUCAUGACUGGGGUGAAGUCGUAACAAGGUAAGCGUAGUGCU